rnacentral:tRNA from 1 species
AUACAUUUAGUUUAUGAAGAAUAGAAGCUUGUCGUGCUUUUGGUGAUUAGUAUAUUUAUGGUCAGUGUAUGU